AACGAACGCUGGCGGCAGGCCUAACACAUGCAAGUCGAACGCUCCGCAAGGGGAGUGGCGCACGGGUGAGUAACACGUGGGAACCUACCUUCUGGUACGGAACAACCAAGGGAAACUUUGGCUAAAACCGUAUACGACCUCCGGGUGAAAGAUUGAUCGCCGGAAGAGGGGCCCGCGUCCGAUUAGGUAGUUGGUGAGGUAACGGCUCACCAAGCCUACGAUCGGUAGCUGGUCUGAGAGGAUGACCAGCCACACUGGGACUGAGACACGGCCCAGACUCCUACGGGAGGCAGCAGUGGGGAAUAUUGGACAAUGGGCGCAAGCCUGAUCCAGCCAUGCCGCGUGAGUGAUGAAGGCCU
rnacentral:rRNA from 1 species